GACGAACGCUGGCGGCGUGCCUAAUACAUGCAAGUAGAACGCUGAAGCGAGGAGCUUGCUCUUCUGGUAUUAGCUGCGAACGGGUGAGUAACGCGUGGAUAACCUACCUAUUAGACUGGGAUAACUACUGGAAACGGUAGCUAAUACCGCAUAACAUUUUGUACCACAUGGUUUUUAAGUGAAAGACGCACUUGCUGUACCACAAGAUUGACCUGGCGUUUCAUUAGCUGUAUGGUAGGGAAACGGCUUACCAAGGCAACGAUGCAUAGCCGACCUGAGAGGGGGAUCGGCCAAAUGGGAACGGGGAAAGGGUCCAAACUCCUAGGGAGGGAACCAUUAGGAAUUCUCGGGAAUGGGGGGAAAGCCUGCCGGGGAAACGCGCGUGGGUGGAGGAGGGUCUUCGGUCGUAAAGCCCUGUUGUAAAGCGAGAAAGGGUGGGAGAAUGAACAGUGCACACUGUGACGGUAGCUUAUCAGAAAGCGACGGCUAACUACGUG
rnacentral:rRNA from 1 species